CAGGUCCCCAUCCGCAGUGGAAACUUUGUCCUUUAGCUCUUCACAACAAACCUUGCUACUGCUCAGUCUCUGGGUCCGUGCCAUCUUUAAGAGCUGUAGUAAUCACCACGAAGGUCCGUGGCUUCUUUCUUGAAGACAGUGAGACCAUGACCCACCGGCAGGAACAAACUCUGGACACAAUUGGACCAAAAUGGCCUUUUAACCAGUGUGAACUGCUCAGAAUACGUGACGUGCUGGUUAUAAAUUGAUAACCAUCUAUUGUAGAUCACAGGGAGCUCAGAAGGAGACAGUCAUGUGCAUCAAUUCACAGUAUAUGGGCCUGGCCCCAGUGUGCACAUCCCAGCCUGCGUGACCAGAGCAUCUUAGCCUAACCCAAACUACCCUGCACGGUAUCUACAGCCAUUUCUCAAUUUCACUAAGAACACGGAGAUCCUCUUUCAACUCGGUCAUGUGUCUGGGUUAUGAAUCUAACUCUCCACUAAGAAGCCUGAUCUCCCAAGUGAAUAUCUGCUCUGUUAACUGUCUGCCUUAUGAGGAAAUGAAGGUCCCACAGCAGUGAGAGGUAAAUUUCAAACACAACAGGAAUAAACUUGGACUCUGUGCAGAAGGGUGCAACUCCCAGGAUUUUCACAGAAAAGCAAAUCAUUUCCACCUAAGAAGCAACAAGGAUAACAGAAGUUUAGUAAAACCCAGCCACGCAGACACUGUCCUUCUCACCCAGUGUCCUCUCCUACCUCCCUUGCUUUCACGAAUAAAGACUUAAAA
rnacentral:lncRNA from 1 species